UACGUAGGGUGCGAGCGUUAAUCGGAAUUACUGGGCGUAAAGCGUGCGCAGGCGGUUCGUUGUGUCGGCGGUGAAAGCCCCGGGCUCAACCUGGGAAUGGCCGUUGAAACUGGCGAACUGGAGUGUGGCAGAGGGGGGUGGAAUUCCGCGUGUAGCAGUGAAAUGCGUAGAUAUCUGGAGGAACACCGGUGGCGAAGGCGGCAUCCUGGACCGGCAUUGACGCUGAGGCGCGAAAGCCAGGGGAGCAAACGGG
rnacentral:rRNA from 1 species